CUCUACUACCCUCUACGUUGCUUCUACGCAACUAUACCUCCUAUCUAUAGUACAUCCUACGACCACCUCGCUGUAGACCGAGCCCCGAGUUCCCAUCUCUGCUCGCUUCAUCCUCUUUCCCGCUCUCCCCCGCUCCGUCUCUUUCUACCAUCUCUUUCCAUGCUCAUUCCUCUUUCACUGGUAUACCAGGGUUAGGAGGGUUGUUCUCGUUGCUCGCCAUCCUCCCGAGCCUCUCACCAUUCCCUCAUGUCCCUCUUCACCGGGCUCAACUACGCUACUCUCGUAUACACGCUCUCUCUCUCUCUCUCUCUCUCUCUCUCUUUUUCUCUCUCCCAUAUUCCGUCGUGCCAAACUCGCGCUACCGUUCAUUCUCUUUCUCGAUCCGUGCUAUGUGUGUUUAUAUGGGACGUUCCGUGUCAAUGCACACCGCCCCGAUGUCAAUCAAUCUUAAUUUCCUUAUUUUUUUCUUCCUUUUCUCCUCCUCUUCUCAUGUAUUUGCUUCGCCACUCCAAAGUUCGGCUAAUACACUCUUUUCAACUCGCACAUUAAUGCAGAUCCAUCGUCAUACUCGUCCAUUGUUUAAAACAUGGGAGCAACAGGAGAGGAACUUUUCGAGGGGAUAAACACUCGAGAAAAAUGUUGCAAAUGUCGUUUUCUUCACAGCUUUUCAAUCGUUUGUGAUAAACUAUGAAAAUUGUAACGGGAAUCUUUUAGAAAUGUCAGUGUACGAUCGUACAUUUCGCCACAGAAUUUGAUCACGUUAUAAAUAAAAUUCGAAUUUUCUUUACUUUACACAAUUCCGAAAUAAAUAAAUAAAAAAAAAAAAAAAAAACACUUCGACAGGAGCCAGGUGAACAACAUUUUUACUCGCAAUAUUUUACCACACGCGAAAAGACUUUUUUCUCAGUUCAAUCGUAAACUUUAGCAUUUGUGUAGCUCGUGUGUACGAUUAUAAACGUCGCACAAAAAUUCUGCUUCCACAGUGAUACGACGAAUGUAAAAAAUGAGAGUAAUUAGAGCUGAGCGCAUGACUCUGCGGGUGAAUUGAACCGAAAUGCCUCAUACACAAGCUCCGAUGCUCAGGGAGCACAUACAAUCCGGCAUGAGGCCUCGGGAAACGACGCGGGUGUCUCUCGAUAUAUAUGCGGCAUUCCACGCGAUUUCGAGCGCUGUGGCCUCUCUUUCACGGUGACAUGGGCCGCUUUACUGAAGAUUUUGAAAAGAAAAAUCUUCAUUUAUGCCUCAAUUAUGAGCUAUCAACUAAUAAAAGGAAUCCGAGGCUGUGCAGCAAUGAGGAAAGUGGCAGUGUGGCACGCAACACCUUAAUGCUCCAGCCAAUCGAGCAUAUACCGACAACCACAGGGACUGUGGAACACCUUUGCCACUACGCGACACUCCAACUCCUUGAAGCACUAGAUUCGCUGCUGUCACAAUUAAUCGACAUGGCUUUUGACCUUGCACUCGAAAGAUGAAGCAAAUCGGAAAAAAACGCUUCCGAUUUGUAUAAUCCUCCAACUAUCAUUACACUCCAAGACUAACUAAGUUUUAAAUACAAAACAUGAUCCAAUUGUUUCAAGUUUUCACACGAGAUGUUCAAACCUCAACAGAUAAAAAUCAAAAUUCAAUUUCUACUGGAAGCGUUUCUUCUUACAUCCGAAGCCUCGAAGCAACGUAAUUGAAGUGCAACUUUUGUUUCUCUGCUAAUUUAAGCUCGGAACGUUCUCAGACUACUUUUAGUGAAACCUGUGACAGGGUCGGUAUUAUGACGAGCAGGGUACCAAGGGCCAUCUGCGGCUGUCAAAGCGAUGGCAGCAUAACAACCAUCCUGUUUACGCCUCGACUCGAAAACAACUCUGCUUUUAAAAUCUUUACUCCGAAAUUCAUAACAAUUCUGCGUCUACUCAUGUAUAAUCCACGAUCUUCAAUAUCUCUACCGACGAUGAGACAUGUUCUGAAAUCAUCAUGAGUUGAAAUAUUGGGGAUUAAAUAUCACAUUGGAGUAAAUAUGUUAAGGAGGAUGGACGUUCUCUACGCAGAUCCGCAGUUAAUAAAGAGCGGAGUUGUUAUCGAGAAUGGCUAUCGAUAGAAUUGUUGACUAGCAGCUAUGUAUAACUAUAAUCACAGCUGUGCACGAUAACAACUCCGCUUUUUAAACAUGUAUUUAAAGGAGACCUAUUGUUGAAUAAAUUUACUGAAAAUAGAAUUUUUGACUUGGUGCAACAUAACUCGACUCUUAUAAAUCUACUCGAUAACAUGUCCACUCUAAAAAUUUUUAUUUUCUGCAUGAAUAACGUCCCUACUCUUCAACAUGUCUGGGCGGAUGACACGGAUUAUUAAUGACAAAAAAGGAGACAUAUUGCAUUGUAUUUCUGUAGAAUAAGGAUUUGUUCCAGUUAACGAUAAUGAGGAGUAAGCUCCGUGAGAAGAGUUGAUAUAUUUAUUGAAUAAUAACUUUAAGAGGAUGGAUCAGUCGGUAUAUCGCAAUCGUGAGUGCGAGAGAG